UACGUAGGGGGCUAGCGUUGUCCGGAAUCAUUGGGCGUAAAGAGCGUGUAGGCGGUCCGGUAAGUCCGCUGUGAAAGUCGAGGGCUCAACCCUCGAAUGCCGGUGGAUACUGUCGGGCUUGAGUACGGGAGAGGCGAGUGGAAUUCCUGGUGUAGCGGUGAAAUGCGCAGAUAUCAGGAGGAACACCGAUUGCGAAGGCAGCUCGCUGGAACGUUACUGACGCUGAGACGCGAAAGCGUGGGGAGCAAACAGG
rnacentral:rRNA from 1 species